ensembl:lncRNA
CUCUGUUAUAAGUUUGAAUGACAAGAAAAAAUAAGCCCUUCAAAGAUUAAGGGGAAGAAGAAUUUUGGUAGAAGGAAUAGCUAGUGGAAAGGUUCAAGGGUGGGUGCAUAUUGGUCUACUUGAGGAACAAAAAGAAAGCCAGUGUGGAUGGAACUUAGUGGAAAAGGGGUGGAGCAACCUGAGAUGAGGUCACAGAGGCAGACAGGGGCUGGGGUGUAGGACUUUCUGGCCAGUUUAAAAAGUAUGGAUUUGUUCUAGGAGCAAUGUGAAGCCAUAUCUGAAGAGCAGUACAGACUAAGCGAAGGAGAAAAGAAUGAGGAGCAGGAAGAGGAGAAAAGAAAGACCACCAUGUAUGCAGAGUGCCCAAAGAGAGCCAUUCCUGUGCUUUUUCUGCAACAGCAUCUUCCUUGGGAAACAGCUGAAUGUGGCUACUGCUUCCACUUGGAAAAUUAGAGUACAGCAACCAUGCUAUUAGAAAUCUUGUGCUCUUUGAUGUUGGCGUUUGGUAUUUUUGGCUAAAAAUUAAGCUGAGAUCGUUUAAACAUGUCUGACACAUGGACUGGGCCUGUAUCUUAGUGAGUUUUCUUUGUUUUGUCAGUCUACCCAUUAUUUCAUCUCCUUUAAUCAAACAUUUUAUUGUACUUUUGCAAUAUUAUCAGGCGAGACGGUGAGUGUCAAUAUCAGUAAGAUUACCUGUGCUGUGAUGUUUCUGAAACAUCUGGUGUCUAGGUCAGGCUUUUCUCAGCUUUUUACUUUGUUUUUGGUGCACUUAGGAUCUUUUCUAACACAUGGACACUCCUAUUCAGCCAUCUCUUCUUCAAGCUAUUCUUCUUCAUAUAAUUUUUCCUUAAAGUCCAAUUUUUAUAAAUGAUUAAUUCUUAUUGUUUUCUUCAGGACCACUCAAAGAUAACUUCCCUUAUCUCCUUCAAUUUUUACUUGAAAAUAAAAUAUUACUCUAGACAAAGAAAUUUUUGACUUAAAUUCUCCCACUACCCAGGCCACCAGAUUUUAUAAUACGCAAGUAGUUGGAGACUAUUCAAAGUCCAGUCAGGUGCUUACCUUUCUAUCCUGACUCUUUAUCUGCAAAUCUCUUUCUGUCUUUCUUGUUUUCUUUACCCUAUUUUCCUCACUAUCAAAUAUUUUUAUCACCCUUAAAUACAGUUCACUGGAUUAGGCUUGCAUUUAAGAAAAGUUAUGCUGUCUAUUCUUUUCUAUAACAAUACCAUAUUUAAAAAUUUCCUGUGAUAUGGG